rnacentral:rRNA from 1 species
GAUGAACGCUGGCGGCGUGCCUAAUACAUGCAAGUCGAGCGAACAGACGAGGAGCUUGCUCCUCUGACGUUAGCGGCGGACGGGUGAGUAACACGUGGAUAACCUACCUAUAAGACUGGGAUAACUUCGGGAAACCGGAGCUAAUACCGGAUAAUAUAUUGAACCGCAUGGUUCAAUAGUGAAAGACGGUUUUGCUGUCACUUAUAGAUGGAUCCGCGCCGCAUUAGCUAGUUGGUAAGGUAACGGCUUACCAAGGCAACGAUGCGUAGCCGACCUGAGAGGGUGAUCGGCCACACUGGAACUGAGACACGGUCCAGACUCCUACGGGAGGCAGCAGUAGGGAAUCUUCCGCAAUGGGCGAAAGCCUGACGGAGCAACGCCGCGUGAGUGAUGAAGGUCUUCGGAUCGUAAAACUCUGUUAUUAGGGAAGAACAAAUGUGUAAGUAACUAUGCGCGUCUUGACGGUACCUAAUCAGAAAGCCACGGCUGACUACGUG